CAAUAUCAACAUCGAUAAAAAGAGGCAGCGAUCGAAUAUCAACAGGAUAACAGGCAGAGAUCCAUGGUGAUGAUCGGAGCUAGCAGUACAAGCAAAGCUAGUAGGCGAAUGGAGGAGGAUCGGAGGAGCAACUGAACUUAGAUCUUGCCGCGCGGGCCCGGCACCGGCGGCUGCUGCGGCCCCUUCUUGAUCGGCAGGAGGUCCGGCGACGCCGACGCGCUGACGUAGGCCAGCAGGGAUCCGCCGCCCAGCAGCAGGAACUUGAGCAGCAGGCCCCUCUUGGUGAACGGCCCCGCGAACGUCUCGAAGAACUUGCU
rnacentral:lncRNA from 1 species